GACGAACCGUGCGAACGUUAUUCGGAAUCACUGGGCUUAAAGCGCGUGUAGGCGGGCCGGCACGUCGGCUGCUGAAAGCCCCCGGCUCAACCGGGGAACGGGCACCGAUACGACCGGCCUGGAGGGGGGUAGGGGGAGCCGGAACUCACGGUGGAGCGGUGAAAUGCGUUGAGAUCGUGAGGAACGCCCGUGGCGAAAGCGGGCUCCUGGACCCCACCUGACGCUGAGACGCGAAAGCCAGGGGAGCGAACGGG
rnacentral:rRNA from 1 species